rnacentral:rRNA from 1 species
AUACGCAUCCUUUGCUGAGGAUACGGUUAACGGAGCGAAAGCGACGUUCAACCGCAAAAGAAGCAGAGGGGGCUUAGUGGUGGGGUGACUGCGUACCUUUUGUAUAAUGGGUCAGCGACUUAUAUUCUGUAGCAAGGUUAACCGAAUAGGGGAGCCGGAGGGAAACCGAGUCUUAACCGGGCGUUAAGUUGCAGGGUAUAGACCCGAAACCCGGUGAUCUAGCCAUGGGCAGGUUGAAGGUUGGGUAACACUAACUGGAGGACCGAACCGACUAAUGUUGAAAAAUUAGCGGAUGACCUGUGGCUGGGGGUGAAAGGCCAAUCAAACCGGGAGAUAGCUGGUUCUCCCCGAAAGCUAUUUAGGUAGCGCCUCGUGAAUUCAUCUCCGGGGGUAGAGCACUGUUUCGGCUAGGGGGCCAUCCCGGCUUACCAACCCGAUGCAAACUGCGAAUACCGGAGAAUGUUAUCACGGGAGACACACGGCGGGUGCUAACGUCCGUCGUGAAGAGGGAAACAACCCAGACCGCCAGCUAAGGUCCCAAAGUCAUGGUUAAGUGGGAAACGAUGUGGGAAGGCCCAGACAGCCAGGAUGUUGGCUUAGAAGCAGCCAUCAUUUAAAGAAAGCGUAAUAGCUCACUGGUCGAGUCGGCCUGCGCGGAAGAUGUAACGGGGCUAAACCAUGCACCGAAGCUGCGGCAGCG